rnacentral:rRNA from 1 species
CCUACGGGGCGCAGCAGUAGGGAAUAUUGCUCAAUGGGGGAAACCCUGAAGCAGCAACGCCGCGUGGAGGAUGAAGGUUUUCGGAUUGUAAACUCCUUUUGUUAGAGAAGAUAAUGACGGUAUCUAACGAAUAAGCACCGGCUAACUCCGUGCCAGCAGCCGCGGUAAUACGGAGGGUGCAAGCGUUACUCGGAAUCACUGGGCGUAAAGAGGGCGUAGGCGGGAUAGCAAGUCAGAUGUGAAAUCCUAUGGCUUAACCAUAGAACUGCAUUUGAAACUGUUAUUCUAGAGUAUGGGAGAGGUAGGUGGAAUUCUUGGUGUAGGGGUAAAAUCCGUAGAGAUCAAGAGGAAUACUCAUUGCGAAGGCGACCUGCUAGAACAUAACUGACGCUGAUGCGCGAAAGCGUGGGGAGCAAACAGGAUUAGAUACCCGAGUAGUC